rnacentral:rRNA from 1 species
UACAGAGGGGGCAAGCGUUGUUCGGAAUUACUGGGCGUAAAGGGCGCGUAGGCGGCCGCCUAAGUCAGACGUGAAAUCCUUCGGCUCAACCGGGGAACUGCGUCUGAUACUGGGUGGCUUGAAUCCGGGAGAGGGAUGCGGAAUUCCAGGUGUAGCGGUGAAAUGCGUAGAUAUCUGGAGGAACACCGGUGGCGAAGGCGGCAUCCUGGACCGGCAUUGACGCUGAGGCGCGAAAGCCAGGGGAGCAAACGGG